GAUAAAAUACAAACUCCACCACUUCGCAUUUAGUCUUUCCCAAUCGGGCCCAAAUGAGCUGAGCCACUGUGGCUGAGCUCCUUCUCUACCAGGCUGUGCUGGGCCAGUUGCUUUAUUCUUUCCGAAAGCACAGAGACCCCUAGCCUGGGAUUUACAGAAGCUUCUCCAGUUUUGCCCCCUUUGUGGGCUGCUGAGCGGUUUUUGCUUCGGGUAACAGGACAGAGAGGAGAGCUUAAAGUCCAUGGGAGCCAUAUUUGGUAAGGUUUGCCUUCUGCAAACCAGGGAUUCUAUACCUAGAAAUAAAAUAAAGAAAUGGGCCUUAGAAGAACUUGUGAAGCCAAGCAGCCGCCUGGAUCUACCUCCAUCUGGGAGCUCCGUAGUUAAAUCAAGUACUAUUGAAUCUGGAUGGUUCCAAGCAAGAAAAGGGGGACAGUUCAUUUUGGCCUUAUUGAUGAUCCCAGAGAAGGAACAUUGGGAGGAUUAUAAGUUCAUGUUACAGCGUCUCUUAAUCACAGUCCCUUUCUUGGAGAGAUUAAUGUUUCAUCUAGGGACUCUGUGAAAUGCUUUACAAUUUGUGCUGCUAGAUGGUCCAAGGUAGUGGGGGAGGAGGAAUGGAGGAACUGUCAACACGGGCCAGCUUCUCAGUCCCCAGUGAUCUCUCCCUCCUCCAAAUUCCUACAACUCAGUUCUUAAUCUUUCAUUUGGCACUUAGCCAUAAUACCAUCCUGAACUGCUACUUAGCUGGUUUCACACUAAUGUCCCUUGUCUUUCUAACUUUCUGAAAGACGCCCAUUGUGUCCCUAACUUUCUAACUUUCUGAAAGGUACCCACUGUGUGCUCAAUAAAAAAACAUGGUGCAAAAUAGGUGCUCA
rnacentral:lncRNA from 1 species